CCCUAUGGGGUGCAGCAGGCGAGAAAACUUUGCAAUGUGCGAAAGCACGACAAGGUUAAUCCGAGUGGUUUCUGCUAAAGGAACCUUUUGUCAGUCCUAGAAACACUGAUGAAUAAGGGGUGGGCAAGUUCUGGUGUCAGCCGCCGCGGUAAAACCAGCACCUCAAGUGGUCAGGAUGAUUAUUGGGCCUAAAGCAUCCGUAGCCUGCUUUGUAAGUUUUCGGUUAAAUCCAUAUGCUCAACAUAUGGGCUGCCGGGAAUACUGCAAAGCUAGGGAGUGGGAGAGGUAGACGGUACUCGGUAGGAAGGGGUAAAAUCCUUUGAUCUAUUGAUGACCACCUGUGGCGAAGGCGGUCUACCAGAACACGUCCGACGGUGAGGGAUGAAAGCUGGGGGAGCAAACCGGAUUAGAUACCCGGGUAGUCCCAGCUGUAAACUAUGCAAACUCAGUGAUGCAUUGGCUUGAUGCCAAUGCAGUGCUGCAGGGAAGCCGUUAAGUUUGCCGCCUGGGAAGUACGUACGCAAGUAUGAAACUUAAAGGAAUUGGCGGGGGAGCACCACAAGGGGUGAAGCCUGCGGUUCAAUUGGAGUCAACGCCAGAAAUCUUACCCGGAGAGACAGCAGAAUGAAGGUCAAGCUGAAGACUUUACCAGACAAGCUGAGAAGUAGUGCAUGGCC
rnacentral:rRNA from 1 species